CAGAUGUGCUGCAGGCAGAGGACUCGGGUUCGGGUGCUGAGGUAAGCUCCGCGAUUGAUUUGCAUAUAUUGCAUAAAAAAAAUUCUAUUAAUUGCGGAAUCGUUAACAAUGUUAACAAUCUCACUCCAAAAAAUUGUGGGUGUUUUUGAUUAUUAACGAAAAAUCAAAAACUUUUUGCACUGUGAGAGACGCAUAUAUAUAUAUACAGUUUUCUCAGCAGAUAAUUACAUUUGAGGAAUGAAAUUGAUGCGAAUCGUUUUCAAUUUAAUUGCGGAUUAUAAAUAUCAAGGUCUAAGUUCAUGAUUCGCGAUAAUUAUUUAAUAAUAAAUUAAUUUAAUAUUCUGGGUAAUCGACAAGCCAGUUCGCUGAUCUGCGUCCCAUUUUAGAGCAUCUGCGCACGUCCAGUGCGCGGGCUAACGCGCGAAUUUCAAAUUUUGCGUUCUGCUGCAGCGGUGCGUGAAUAUUUAUGAAUAACAAACAUAACCUGAAAAGCUGCAGAGCAGACAAGAAUGAAAAUAAGAAGAACGAGUGCUGCCCGAGAGAGAAUCCGUCGGCGCGAGCACCGAAGAGACAAAUAAAAUAGAAUAGAUGCCACAUAGAAGACUGAUCAAGAAUUUGGUUAAAAUCAGAGCUCAGCAAUCUUGCAAAAUUUUAACAUGUCCGUUGAAGCACUCAGCGAUUCCGAGCUUCGGACUAAACUUUGUGAUGGGUAUGAAAAUUCUUGUCAAAAGGCUGAAGUCACUCUUGGAAUCUCAGGUGGAUCAGCAGGAUCUCGGACCUCGAUGGCUGCAAGGUAGAGCUAUCACUAUGAUAUGAUACAGAUGACGAUAUCUCUGCAAGUGCAAACAAUAAAAAGAAGAAAGCUCCUCUUAAUACCGUAGACAAACUUUAGCUAAUCCUAUAUGAUAUGCCACCGCCUGCAACAGUGCCAAUCCCAUCUACGCUUGCAGCUCAAAACACAGCAAAGAAGCGAAUGUCUAGAAAUUUACAGGCUGCAGACUCAGAAGAUUUGGAUGUAAAUAAUGUUGUACCCAUAAUUCAUACAUCUCCACCUUUAAAUAAAUGUCAAAGCAAGACCUGACGUUAAACCUUGUUGGCUUGUCACCAGGAGAAUAUAUAUAAUUAGAAUAUUUAUAGUAUUAGUUUCCGUAAUUUUUUAAUUUAUAGGGUACAUGGCUGGGCGUGAAACCUCUGAUGCUGUUGCCAUUGUGUAAGGAAUAAAAAGGUUUAGAAAAAUUCUUGGGAAAUAUAGAUGCAAGUAAGGUUCCAGAAUACUUAAGGAAGGAUUUGAAGGAAUUCGCAGAAAUGUUAUAUAUAAUUGAAAAAGGUCUAUCGCAGUAUACAAAAGUAAGAAUCAAAAAAGCUUGCAUACAGUAAAGGAAAAGAAGCUGAAAAGGGUAUUGAAAAGAUUUUCAAAUAAGUAUCUGUGUUCAAUGGAAAAUGAUGUUGUGAGAGACCGAAUACUUAAUAUAAAAGGUCGAAAUGUCAUUUUUAACAAAACUUGUGGCCAAGUUAUGGAUUCAUCAUUUACAGAAUUAUGCAAUUGGCCACAACAAAGUGCAUCACGCUUAAUUUGCAUGAUGUAUGACCUGUUGCAAUGAAAACUCAGUAUCUAGGAGUAGCAGCUGGAAUUCAAAGUGAUAUUGAAAACUUGGUUGAAGUAAUGGAAGUGAAUGAUAUUUUUCCUUUUUUUAUUAGUCUUUUUUGACCAUGUAACUGAAUAUGAUUCUAAUGCAGGUGUGGAAUGUUUCCUGAAGGAAUGUUGAUUGACAAUGUUGUUGAAGGUGCUUAACGAGAAUUGUCUUGGGAAGCUGAUCAUGACAAGGAAGCUGAGUGCACUAGGUUAUAUAGAAAAUAUGCGUAACCCUAUUCAGAGUAUUAUGUACAAGAAAUCAUUGUUUUAGAUAACACUGUUAGAUUUUGGAGCAAGUCAAAGUUACACUAAAGAUUUUAUGGAUAAAUAUAUUGAAAUAAUCAAUGGAGCUAGGAGAUAGACGUAAAGUAUUAACUAUAUCAAAAGAAAUGGGAUUUCUAACUAGAUAUGAAUCAAAGAUCAUGGAAGAAGCACAUGUAGGUGGUUUUGCCAAGUAUUUCAAAAAGAUCAUGAAUAUUUCAAUUUUGAAGAUGUUACAAAGUGGACACAGGCAUUAGUUUCAACUAUUAUUCAUCAUCGUCUCUGCCCUCCGCCAUAAGAGAUUUACAGUUUACACAGAAAAUUCAGGUGUAUUUUUACUGUAUGCAAUACUAAAUGUCAAAAUCAAUUGUCGCUGUGUGUUCCAUGAAGUUUACAAAAAUUAUCAGUUUGGAUAAAUAAUUGACAUUUUAUAAAAUUGUAAUAUACGAAAAAUAGCUUUAAUAAAUUACUUUUUAUCAUUUUCAUAC